AUGUACUACCUGUACAUUCCGGUUCCUCCGCUCCUGCCGACCCCGGCUGACGGCCGCUCGCUACAUUUCUAAAACA
rnacentral:sRNA from 1 species